AUUGAACGCUGGCGGCAGGCCUAACACAUGCAAGUCGAACGAGUGGCGGACGGGUGAGUAAUGUCUGGGAAACUGCCUGAUGGAGGGGGAUAACUACUGGAAACGGUAGCUAAUACCGCAUACCAUCAGAUGUGCCCAGAUGGGAUUAGCUAGUUGGUGGGGUAAUGGCUCCCCUAGGCGACGAUCACUAGCUGGUCUGAGAGGAUGACCAGCCACACGGGAACUGAGACACGGUCCAGACUCCUACGGGAGGCAGCAGUGGGGAAUAUUGCACAAUGGGCGCAAGCCUGAUGCAGCCAGGCCGCGGGUGUGAAGAAGGCCUUCGGGUUGUAAAGCACGUUCAGCGGGGAGGCGUUACUCGCAGAAGAAGCACCGGCUAACUCCGUGCCAGCAGCCGCGGUAAUAC
rnacentral:rRNA from 1 species